rnacentral:rRNA from 1 species
GAUGAACGCUGGCGGCGUGCCUAAUACAUGCAAGUCGAGCGAACAGAUGAGGAGCUUGCUCCUCUGACGUUAGCGGCGGACGGGUGAGUAACACGUGGAUAACCUACCUAUAAGACUGGGAUAACUUCGGGAAACCGGAGCUAAUACCGGAUAAUAUAUUGAACCGCAUGGUUCAAUAGUGAAAGACGGUUUUGCUGUCACUUAUAGAUGGAUCCGCGCCGCAUUAGCUAGUUGGUAAGGUAACGGCUUACCAAGGCAACGAUGCGUAGCCGACCUGAAAGGUGAUUCGCCACACUGGAAACGAGACCAGGUCCCGACCUCCAACGGAAGCCGCAGGUGGGAAUCCUCCGGCAGGGGGCGAAGCCCUACGGAGCAACGCCGGCGGAGGGAUUAAGGGUCUUCGAUUGGAAAACCCUGUUAUUAGGGAAGAACAAAUGUGUAAGUAACUAUGCACGUCUUGACGGUACCUAAUCAGAAAGCCACGGCUAACUACGUG